GAUGAACGCUGGCGGCGUGCCUAAUACAUGCAAGUCGAGCGAACGGACGAGAAGCUUGCUUCUCUGAUGUUAGCGGCGGACGGGUGAGUAACACGUGGAUAACCUACCUAUAAGACUGGGAUAACUUCGGGAAACCGGAGCUAAUACCGGAUAAUAUUUUGAACCGCAUGGUUCAAAAGUGAAAGACGGUCUUGCUGCCACUUAUAGAUGGAUCCGCGCUGCAUUAGCUAGUUGGUAAGGUAACGGCUUACCAAGGCAACGAUGCAUAGCCGACCUGAGAGGGUGAUCGGCCACACUGGAACUGAGACACGGUCCAGACUCCUACGGGAGGCAGCAGUAGGGAAUCUUCCGCAAUGGGCGAAAGCCUGACGGAGCAACGCCGCGUGAGUGAUGAAGGUCUUCAGAUCGUAAAACUCUGUUAUUAGGGAAGAACAUAUGUGUAAGUAACUGUGCACAUCUUGACGGUACCUAAUCAGAAAGCCACGGCUAACUACGUG
rnacentral:rRNA from 1 species